UGUGUGUUGUGCGGGGUCGAAGAGAAAGCUGUCGACCAUUUAUUCACAUGAUGUGUCUUCUCGAGCCAUUUAUUCACAUGAUGUGUCUUCUCGAGAUUUUUACUAAUGACGACCUUAGAGUAUGCUCAGUCUAGAGAUUGAGGGGAUGAUGUGAGAUCGGUCAAGGAUAGAUGGAUGACGAGAAUUGGAACGCAGUCGUCGGAUACUACGAUAUCUGGAUUGGUAGCCUGCUGUUGGGUAUAAUUUGGAAGGUCGGGAACGGCAUGAUCUUUAGGAAGAC
rnacentral:lncRNA from 1 species